UUUAGUUUAUUUCUAUCACAACUCUGGGAAGCCCCUAACUCGCAUUUGAGUAUCACAAGAAAAGCAAGCCCGAAGAAACUACAAAAACAACUUUGCCUCUUCGGUAAUGCGCACGCGCCCCUCCCUCUGUUUUCCGUUGGCUUUAAGCCCCGCCCCUUGUGCGUCCUUCGAGGAGGGUUGCGAGCCGUGAGCUCGCGCGACCACUCUUCCCUCAGUCUUCUCGAGCACAUCGUCGCAAACGGGGCCGGAAAGCGUGGCAGCGCAGGCGCAAGCGCAGAGAGCGGAGGCGGUGGUGGUGGCGGCCGCUGGCCAGUGUAAGAUGGCGGCGGCGUUGGUGGUGGCAGUGGACGGGGCGGCUGGGCCUGGAACAGUCGGAGCAGCCGCUAGCAGAAGGAUGACCCAAGACGGGAAGCGGGCUGCUGAGCCUCGCCGAUUCCCGUGCUUGUAACUGCCCCAGCCGGACACCCCCCCCUUGACCUUACCCGGUCUGUGUCUCGUUCCGGCUCGGCCUGCCCCCCCUCCGCUCCCCAGCCGGUUUCCCUUAAGGAUGGGCCUGACCCCUUUCCCAAGCUCUUAGCGCUCAGGUCUUUUCCUUCCGCCGACCCGAAGUCAUCGCCGGGAAUACUGGUUGUCCUUUCCUCAGUCCUUCAGUGAAUCGACAGACCUAUUUUCUCAGGAGCUCAACUUGGCCUUACUUCAGUGAUAAAAGGAGGAAAGCCAUCUGGAAAGCUACUAUAGGGUUUACCUCUAGUAGUAGCCAAGUGACUGUAUUCCUCUGGUGUACUUUAAUCAUUGGCACAUUACCAGUCCUCCAUGUUGGAUAUCCUCAGAACCUUCAAGAGGGAGAAGAGGCCAGGUGUGGUGGUUCAUGCCUAUAAUCCCAGCACUUUGGGAGGCCAAGGCUGGCUACAGCAAACAUCAUUCAAGAUGUCCAGCAAAGGGAGCAGCACAGAUGGCAGAACAGACUUAGCUAAUGGAAGCCUGUCUAGCAGUCCAGAAGAGAUGUCUGGAGCUGAAGAGGGGAGGGAGACAUCCUCAGGCAUUGAAGUGGAGGCCUCAGACCUGAGUUUGAGUUUGACUGGGGAUGAUGGUGGCCCCAACCGCACCAGCACAGAAAGUCGAGGCACAGACACAGAGAGCUCAGGUGAAGAUAAGGACUCUGACAGCAUGGAGGACACUGGUCAUUACUCCAUUAAUGAUGAAAAUCGAGUCCAUGACCGCUCAGAGGAAGAGGAAGAGGAGGAAGAAGAGGAGGAAGAAGAGCAGCCUCGGCGCCGUGUACAGCGCAAGCGGGCUAACCGUGACCAGGACUCAUCAGAUGAUGAGCGGGCCCUAGAGGACUGGGUGUCCUCAGAAACAUCAGCUCUACCCCGACCUCGCUGGCAAGCCCUCCCUGCCCUUCGGGAGCGGGAGCUGGGUUCAAGUGCCCGCUUUGUCUAUGAGGCCUGUGGGGCAAGAGUCUUUGUGCAGCGUUUCCGCCUACAGCAUGGGCUUGAGGGCCAUACUGGUUGUGUCAAUACCCUGCACUUUAACCAGCGCGGCACCUGGCUGGCCAGUGGCAGCGAUGACCUGAAGGUGGUGGUUUGGGAUUGGGUGCGGCGGCAGCCAGUACUGGACUUUGAGAGUGGCCACAAAAGUAAUGUGUUCCAGGCCAAGUUUCUUCCUAACAGUGGUGAUUCCACUCUGGCCAUGUGUGCCCGUGAUGGGCAGGUUCGGGUAGCAGAACUGUCUGCUACACAGUGUUGCAAGAAUACAAAACGUGUGGCCCAGCACAAAGGAGCGUCCCACAAGUUGGCUCUGGAACCAGACUCUCCCUGUACAUUCUUAUCUGCAGGUGAAGAUGCAGUUGUUUUCACCAUUGACCUGAGACAAGACCGCCCAGCUUCGAAACUGGUGGUGACAAAAGAGAAAGAGAAGAAAGUGGGACUGUAUACGAUCUUUGUGAAUCCUGCCAAUACCCACCAGUUUGCAGUGGGUGGACGAGAUCAGUUUGUAAGGAUUUAUGACCAGAGGAAAAUUGAUGAGAAUGAGAACAACGGAGUACUCAAGAAGUUCUGUCCUCAUCACCUGGUGAACAGUGAGUCCAAAGCAAACAUCACCUGUCUUGUGUACAGCCACGACGGCACAGAGCUCCUGGCCAGUUACAAUGAUGAAGACAUUUACCUCUUCAACUCCUCUCACAGUGAUGGGGCCCAGUAUGUUAAGAGAUACAAGGGCCACAGAAAUAAUGCCACAGUAAAAGGCGUCAAUUUCUAUGGCCCUAAGAGUGAGUUUGUGGUGAGCGGUAGUGACUGUGGGCACAUCUUCCUCUGGGAGAAAUCAUCCUGCCAGAUUAUUCAGUUCAUGGAGGGGGACAAGGGAGGCGUGAGAGAUGCAGGGCUGAAUGCCCUCUGCCAGGCCAGCAUUUGUCCAUUCUCCAAAAGCAUUCUGCAGGCCAGUUUGCUUUUAGCUCAGCCAAUGCCAGGGUUUGAUGAUUAACCCAUUUGCCCAGGUGAGGAAGGCAUUUACUUGGGAUGGGUGGGCCCUAGGCCUAAGUUUUAGUGGUCCUAAGAGUAAAUAAGUAGAAUAAGAGAUAUAGAGGCUACCCCUGGAGCAAAUUUCCUUACAUAUUCUUGUCUCUGUGUAAGCUGAAUGAUUGAUGUGGUCUUUUACUUGGCUCCCUCUGUUCUGUUUUUGGUCCUAAUUUUCCAGCAGUGGGGGUCACCAGGCACUAGUUUCAAUGUAGUAGACUCAGCAGUUCUAUAUCAUGCAAAUUGUAAAUGUAGAGUAGAAUGUAAUUGUAACGUAGAAUGUUAGAACCAAAGAUCUUAGAAGUUAUUUUCUAACUUGCCCAGAUCUCCUGACUCUGAUUUGAGGAUCAUUUCUUUGUUCCCAUUCAGCUUCACAGGGACAAGAAUGGGGGGUGGUAUCAGAGGACAGCCCCUUAGUCUCCCAAGAGCACUUUGAUGCUUGAUCCCAUUCUCUACAUUCCCCCAGCCCAGUCAUCUAAGGCCAGAGCUCUUUUCUCUGCUCAGGCAUUAUUGACAGGAUAAGUCCUGGCAUUCAGACAGGUCUGGUGAAGUGACCAGGUACUCUGGCCCAGAAGUUCUCUGUCGGCUCCCCCCGCAGGCUCCAAUUCAGGUACUGUAUGUUAUUCUCUUGUUCCUCUUGCCACUGGCUUUUUCCUUAGUCUUAAGUUCCAAGGAAUUGUUCCCCUGCGCUUUUUUAUUUUGCUGACUUAUUCAAGCAGAGCUAGCUCAAAGAGUACAGGUCUGUAACAAGGGCUUAUUAGGAGAUAGAUGAAAAAGUUCAGGUUUGUAUGUGUAAGUUGUCCAUUACUAGAGAUAGAUAUUAUUCCAGGCAUUGAACUGCACUGCCUAAAACAGCCCAAAGAUAAACUUCACAAUAGGCUGAUGUGUGGAAUGGGAGGAGAUAAAGAACGAGGUUUCUGUUUUAUUCAUAAGCUCAGUCUUAGCUUCAGUCUUUUCUGAGCAUUUGUUUAUUUGUAAGAUGGAGUCAAAGUAACUGGGAAGUCUGUAGGUCAGCUCUGUUUUCCAUGCCUGCCCUUGACUUAUCCUCAGCUGCCUGUGCAGGUGAGGCAGGGGAGGUGGUUGGUCCAGAGAGAACUAAAAGAAGUUAUUUUCUUGGACUAUAUGGCCAGCUGCAAGGCAGGGUGCCUUUCCUGUGUGUUCCUCCUUUCACUAAAAGACUCAAAAUGCUUUAGCAGCUAGAUCUGGAACUAACUCUUCUGGAUGGGGUAGGAACUUCCCUGCCCUUCCCUUAGGGAAGCUCAUGUUUCCAAGUCAGACAGCAGGGGGCAUGGGUGCCUUUCGGACAGAAGGAAACUGCCUAAGCUAGAAGGCCUUCCUGCUGUAGUUUAUUUCUUUUGCCUUGUUCAGUGAAUUUACCCAGAGGGUGGCUGAGAUUGAGGCUAUGGGAGCCCCAAGAAGCUGCUUUAUUUUAAUGUUUUGCCUUAUAGCUGAGCCUGUUGUGCUCAGGGCAGGUAGUAGGAUGCUCCCCCUGGGAUGUGCAAGGUUCUCUCAAGCAGACACGAGCCUCCAUCACUCCCACCACUCCCUGCAACUCAGCCUCCUCUUCUCAGCCUGUGCCUUCCUCCAGUUCUAGUAAACAGUGCCAAAUGAAUGUAGUUGUUCUCCGACUCUUCUCUGGGGGUUCAUUGGCAGCUGCUGCUUGCUUCAUUUUUUAAAAUUUAUUUGCCAUUUGGUGAAAGCCACUGAGAUGGUUUUUUCCAGCCUUGGGCAAGUUGGAGCUUUGGAAUCUGGAGUGAAUGAGGUCAUCUGGAUUUCAUUGUCUUAUGAAGCCAGCAGUAAGCUUGGGCAGUCCACUCACCCAUCCCUAGGGCCGUAUCUGGGGAUGAAGCCACCCCUGACCUAAACAUAGGAAAUGAUUGAUGUGCCUGGUCUUAUACCCAGUCUGUGUCUGGUUUCUCUACCCCCAGUGCCCUUUGGCUUAGGCUCAGGAUGGGUGGGCCUCCCUUCCCCAGCAGCUGCAUCAGCCCUGAUCAAGGGCAAUUAUUUGGCUCAAGGUGAGUAGUGGUUUUUAAACCCUACUCCCACACACUACUGAGUCUGUUUUCCUUUCUUCCUGACCAGGUAAACUGUCUUGAGCCCCACCCUCACCUGCCUGUGCUGGCAACCAGUGGCCUAGACCAUGAUGUGAAGAUCUGGGCACCCACAGCUGAAGCUUCCACUGAGCUGACAGGGUUAAAAGAUGUGAUUAAGAAGAACAAGCGGGAGCGGGAUGAAGAUAGCUUGCACCACCCUGACCUGUUUGAUAGUCACAUGCUGUGGUUCCUUAUGCAUCACUUGAGACAGAGACGCCAUCACCGGCGCUGGCGAGAACCUGGGGUUGGGGCCACAGACGCGGACUCUGAUGAGUCUCCCAGCUCCUCAGACACAUCGGACGAGGAGGAGGGCCCUGACCGGGUGCAGUGCAUGCCAUCUUGAGGCCUCAUACCUAGGUGGGGCAGGCUGGGGCUGCCAAUCUGAUCCUGCCUGGGCAACCCUUUCCUGUCCCAGGUCCUACAUUCAGCAGAAACGCACUUUGGACUUUUU